rnacentral:rRNA from 1 species
CCUACGGGUGGCUGCAGUGGGGAAUAUUGGACAAUGGGCGAAAGCCUGAUCCAGCCAUGCCGCGUGUGUGAAGAAGGCCUUCGGGUUGUAAAGCACUUUCAGUGGGGAAGAAAGCCUUGGGGCUAAUACCCUCGAGGAAGGACAUCACCCACAGAAGAAGCACCGGCUAACUCCGUGCCAGCAGCCGCGGUAAUACGGAGGGUGCGAGCGUUAAUCGGAAUUACUGGGCGUAAAGCGCGCGUAGGCGGUUUGAUAAGCCGGUUGUGAAAGCCCCGGGCUCAACCUGGGAACGGCAUCCGGAACUGUCAGGCUAGAGUGCAGGAGAGGAAGGUAGAAUUCCCGGUGUAGCGGUGAAAUGCGUAGAGAUCGGGAGGAAUACCAGUGGCGAAGGCGGCCUUCUGGACUGACACUGACGCUGAGGUGCGAAAGCGUGGGUAGCAAACAGGAUUAGAUACCCUUGUAGUC